rnacentral:rRNA from 2 species
GAUGAACGCUGGCGGCGUGCCUCAAACAUGCAAGUCGAGCGGGGCUAUGUAAUAUCGCAAGGUAGAACAUAGCCUAGCGGCGAACGGGUGAGUAACACGUGGGUAACCUGCCUGGAAGACAGGGAUAACGAUUCGAAAGGGUCGCUAAUACCUGAUAAUAUCCUUUCAUCGCAUGGUGAUAGGAAGAAAGGGGAAACCCGCUUUCAGAUGGGCCCGCGUCCCAUCAGCUAGUUGGUAAGGUAAAGGCUUACCAAGGCGACGACGGGUAGCCGGUCUGAGAGGAUGUACGGCCACACUGGGACUGAGAUACGGCCCAGACUCCUACGGGAGGCAGCAGUUGGGAAUCUUAGGCAAUGGACGAAAGUCUGACCUAGCGACGCCGCGUGAGGGAAGAAGGCCUUCGGGUUGUAAACCUCUGUCAUGGGGGAAGAAGGAAGUGACGGUACCCCAAGAGGAAGCCCCUGCUAACUACGUG